rnacentral:rRNA from 1 species
AGUGAACGCUGGCGGUAGGCCUAACACAUGCAAGUCGAACGGCAGCACAGUAAGAGCUUGCUCUUACGGGUGGCGAGUGGCGGACGGGUGAGGAAUACAUCGGAAUCUACUUUUUCGUGGGGGGUAACGUAGGGAAACUUACGCUAAUACCGCAUACGACCUACGGGUGAAAGCAGGGGAUCUUCGGACCUUGCGCGAUUGAAUGAGCCGAUGUCGGAUUAGCUAGUUGGCGGGGUAAAGGCCCACCAAGGCGACGAUCCGUAGCUGGUCUGAGAGGAUGAUCAGCCACACUGGAACUGAGACACGGUCCAGACUCCUACGGGAGGCAGCAGUGGGGAAUAUUGGACAAUGGGCGCAAGCCUGAUCCAGCCAUACCGCGUGGGUGAAGAAGGCCUUCGGGUUGAAAAGCCCUUUUGUUGGGAAAGAAAAGCAGCAGGUUAAUACCCCGCUGUUCUGACGGUACCCAAAGAAUAAGCACCGGCUAACUUCGUG